CACUAUUUUGUCAAUUUUCUCCAAACAGGUCAUGAUGGUACAAUUACUGAGAAAAACAUCCUGUUUGCAUUUGUAUUCUCCGCAUUAUCAUUUGAUACUCAACUGCCUGAGCUUGGCAGAUGGGUUAAGAGAGAUAAUACUGGAAAGCACCUGUUCUGUUGUGUGUAGAGUUGUGUGGUCAUCUCUGUAGUGAAUCUUUCCCAUCAAAGCAACAGUGGGACCAAACCAGACAGGUAAGUAGAAAGUAAAUGAAAGGUCCAUGUAAAUGGACAGCAAAACAAUGGUCUAAAGGGCUGGAGAAAUGACUCAGAGGUUAAAAGCACUGACUGCUCUUUGAGAG
rnacentral:lncRNA from 1 species